UUUUCCAUUUACUUUUUCUUUUCUGCUUUUUCUUUUUUUUUUUUUUUUUUUUUUUUUUUUUUUUUUUUUUUUUUUUUUUUUUUGUUUGAACACUUUAAUGGGCUUUUUUUUUUUUUUUUUUUUUUUUUUUUUUUUUUUUUUUUUUUUUUUUUUUUG